GAUGAACGCUGGCGGCGUGCCUAAUACAUGCAAGUCGAGCGAAGCGGGGACGGGUGAGUAACACGUGGAUAACCUCCGAUAAGACGGGGAUAACUUCGGGAAACGGAGCUAACACGGAUACUUAUAGAUGGAUCCGCGCUGCAUUAGCUAGUUGGUAAGGUAACGGCUUACCAAGGCAACGAUGCAUAGCCGACCUGAGAGGGUGAUCGGCCAAACUGGAACUGAGACACGGUCCAGACUCCUACGGUAGGCAGCAGUAGGGAAUCUUCCGCAAUGGGCGAAAGCCUGACGGAGCAACGCCGCGUGAGUGAUGAAGGUCUUCGGAUCGUAAAACUCUGUUAUUAGGGAAGCGGUACCUAACCAGAAAGCCACGGCUAACUACGUGCCAGCAGCCGCGGUAAUAC
rnacentral:rRNA from 1 species